GGCACAAACUUGAAGUAAAGUAGAUUAAUAUUAUCAGCUGACGCUACUAAUCUACUUUACUUCAAGUUUGUGCCC
rfam:Haemonchus contortus, ISE/inbred ISE, WGS project CAVP01000000 data, contig: Hcontortus_44825